AUUGAACGCUGGCGGUAUGCUUAACACAUGCAAGUCGAACGGUAGCAGGUCUAGCUUGCUAGAUGCUGACGAGUGGCGGACGGGUGAGUAAUGCGUAGGAAUCUGCCUAGUAGUUGGGGACAACCCGGGGAAACUCGGGCUAAUACCGAAUAAGCUCUACGGAGGAAAGCGUGGGACCGCAAGGCCACGCGCUACUAGAUGAGCCUGCGUCGGAUUAGCUAGUUGGUGAGGUAAAGGCUCACCAAGGCUACGAUCCGUAGCUGGUCUGAGAGGACGACCAGCCACACUGGGACUGAGACACGGCCCAGACUCCUACGGGAGGCAGCAGUGGGGAAUAUUGGACAAUGGGGGGAACCCUGAUCCAGCAAUACCGUGUGUGUGAAGAAGGCCUGCGGGUUGUAAAGCACUUUUAUUGGGGAGGAAGGCGUGAUGGUUAAUAGUCAUCACGAUUGACGUUACCCGAAGAAAAAGCACCGGCUAACUCUGUGCCAGCAGCCGCCGUAAAAC
rnacentral:rRNA from 1 species